rnacentral:rRNA from 1 species
AUGCCGCCGCCCCCCGCCGGCCGGCCCGGAUUGGCACCGCCCCGGCCGGUGCCCACCGCGCAGGCGGCGAAGCCGGCGAAGGGACGAGGAGGCAGUGUCAAACGGCCGGCCAACCGCAGCCGCAACCCGGCCGACAGUUCUACGCGGCCGGUGAAGGUCUCAAAGGCGGCCGCGGCGGCUCGGGGCAACACAUCCAUUCCUCCACCUCCCCCGCCGCCACCGCUGGCCGUGGAGGAAGAUGUGGCCACGCCGACGGCCACCGCCUCCAACAUGUUCGAUGAAAUGUGCAAAGCUUUCAUGCACGCAACAAAUGUGGCAAAUGAUGAUUACAUAUAUGAGUCACAAGAAUAUGAAACCCAAUAUGAUGAUGACAAUCUUGAUGUGGAUGAUGAGGGCUUCAUUGUCAAGGGAAGAAGUGGAAAUUAUAGCACCGCGGAGGAUGUGUUGAUAUGCACCGCUUGGAAGAAAAUCUCUCAAGAUGCAAGCGUUGGAAGCGACCAAACGAAAAUGAUUGCACAAGGAUUGUUUCGGGAGAGGAACAUGAAAGGCGAGAAGAAGAAAAGGAAAGGCAAAGCUUUGACUUUUCAUCAUUGCUACAAAGAGCUCAAGGAUGUGGAGAAGUGGAAAACUAGAGAGACUUUUGAAUUGUCGAAGAAGAAGAGUGUGUUGGUUGAGGAUGAAGAAGAUGUCGCCAUUGAGGAGACGAGCCCCACUCCUCACUCCAUGACAAAAUCUUAUAGGCCCGAUGGAAACAAGAAAGCGAAGGGAACCAAGGCCGGAGACAAUGAUCUCAAGGAAGGAUUUGAUGCCAUUGUCAUGGCAAGGAAAGACGCGGCGGCCGAGGAGAGGUUGGCCGCGGCCGAGGAGAGGAAGGUGGACCUAGAGGAGCAGAAGGUCGCGGCCGACGAGAGGAAGAUGGUAGAAGAGAGGACACUCAAGUUUAUGUUUAUGGACACAUCAACUCUUGAUGCCAAGGCAAAGGCAUAUGUUGAACUUUGUCGCGAUGAAAUGCUCAUGAAGAAGCAAAUGCUCAUGAGGCAAAUGAUGAUGGGAGGAGGCAUGGGAGGAGGCAUGGGAGAUGCCAUGGGUGGUGCCAUGGGUGGUGCCAUGGGUGGUUACAUGAACAUGAUUGGAGGUGCCAUGAGUGGUGCAUUUGGCGGAAACAUGGGAGGUGGCUUCGGUGGCAACAUGGAAGGUGGCUUUGGCGGCAAGGGAGGUGGCUUUGGCGGCAUGGGAGAUGCUUUUGGCGGCAACAUGAUCGGUGGCUUGGGAGGUGGCUAUGGCGACAACAUGAGUGGCGUUGGAGGUGGAUAUGGCGGCAACAUGGGACGCAAUGAAGAUGGUUCCGGUGGUGCUCACGGCAACGAGAGUUCACCGCUUGUUGAGAACGUCGACAAAGACGGUGGUAGAGAUGAUGAUCGUACCACGGUUCACAACACCGGUGGUGUUGAUGACCCGAAUGAGUGA